rnacentral:piRNA from 1 species
UCGCUGCACUCAUUGCCUGACUGUUAACUU